ACUCCUACGGGAGGCAGCAGUGGGGAAUAUUGCACAAUGGGCGCAAGCCUGAUGCAGCCAUGCCGCGUGUAUGAAGAAGGCCUUCGGGUUGUAAAGUACUUUCAGCGGGGAGGAAGGCGAUAAGGUUAAUAACCUUGUUGAUUGACGUUACCCGCAGAAGAAGCACCGGCUAACUCCGUGCCAGCAGCCGCGGUAAUACGGAGGGUGCAAGCGUUAAUCGGAAUUACUGGGCGUAAAGCGCACGCAGGCGGUCUGUCAAGUCGGAUGUGAAAUCCCCGGGCUCAACCUGGGAACUGCAUUCGAAACUGGCAGGCUAGAGUCUUGUAGAGGGGGGUAGAAUUCCAGGUGUAGCGGUGAAAUGCGUAGAGAUCUGGAGGAAUACCGGUGGCGAAGGCGGCCCCCUGGACAAAGACUGACGCUCAGGUGCGAAAGCGUGGGGAGCAAACAGGAUUAGAAACCCGUGUAGUCCCAU
rnacentral:rRNA from 1 species